rnacentral:misc_RNA from 1 species
GAUGAAGAACGCAGCGAAAUGCGAUACGUAAUGUGAAUUGCAAAUUCAGUGAAUCAUCGAGUCUUUGAACGCACAUUGCGCCCCCUGGUAUUCCGGGGGGCAUGCCUGUCCGAGCGUCAUUGCUGCCCUCAAGCACGGCUUGUGUGUUGGGCCCCGUCCUCCGAUCCCGGGGGACGGGCCCGAAAGGCAGCGGCGGCACCGCGUCUGGUCCUCGAGCGUAUGGGGCUUUGUCACCCGCUCUGUAGGCCCGGCCGGCGCUUGCCGAUCAACCCAAAUUUUUAUCCAGGUUGACCUCGGAUCAGGUAGGGAUACCCGCUGAACUUAAGCAUAUCAAUAAGCGGAGGA